CGCGUUUUGGAUCGACUUUGUGUUCUAGUUGUGUUCAAAUUGUAAACUAUAAUUCUCAGCAAAUUCCAAUCCAAUGGAGAAACGGGAAGAAGAGUACGAAACUCUUUGGGAGUUCUUAAGGAAAAUUAAAAUGGAAUCUGUGUUUGACGACUUGAAAGCUGCAGAAGUCACAUACGAUCGAUUGAAAUUUUUAAACAGUGAGGAUGUCAAAGAUGCCAUACGUUUGGUAGGCCCACGCGCCGAAUUUCGUGAAAAACUUUUAAUGAUGAAACGGACAGAGGUAAAUAAAUUUUGGAAACAUUAAAGGAUACAUAGAUCUUAGAGUACAGCACAAAAAUUUGGAACAACUUAUAAAUAGAUCUCCUGAGGGCCUGACUGUGCUUCAGUCUUUCAAAGCAAAAAAUUGCCUAAGCAAAGAACAGAGACAGUUUUUGGUCAAACUUCUUGUAGGUGAAGUUGAUAACAAUAGGAAUGCCAUCAAAAUGCAAACAUUAUGCACUUUACUUGACGAAAUAGUAGCUUUAUUUCCCUCCGAAGAAUCCAGGAAGAUUUUUGGAGCCUUGGAAGUGCAUCCUCUAUUUUUUGGCCCUAAUGGAAUUCCAAAGCAUUUGCAUAACGAUCUAUACUAAAUAAGUUUUCACACCAUUACAAAGUACAUUAAAUCAUAAUUAAUCUCAUAAAUGCUUAAA